GGCGGCGUGCUUAAGACAUGCAAGUCGUGCGAGAAAGUUCCUUCGGGAGCGAGUAAAGCGGCGCACGGGUGAGUAACGCGUGGGUAAUCUGCCCGAAGGUCUGGGAUAACUCCGGGAAACUGGGGCUAAUACCAGAUGAGACCACGUCGUCUGCGGACGACGCGGAAAAAGAUGGCCUCUGCUUGCAAGCUAUCGCCUACGGAUGAGCCCGCGUCCCAUUAGCUAGUUGGCGGGGUAACGGCCCACCAAGGCAGUGAUGGGUAGCUGGUCUGAGAGGACGACCAGCCACACUGGAACUGAGACACGGUCCAGACUCCUACGGGAGGCAGCAGUCGGGAAUUUUGGGCAAUGGGCGAAAGCCUGACCCAGCGACGCCGCGUGAGGGAUGAAGGCCUUCGGGUCGUAAACCUCUGUCGGAAGGGGCGAAAGGUCAUUGGGCGAAUAGGCCAAGGGCUUGACGGUACCUUCAAAGGAAGCGCCGGCUAACUCCGUGCCAGCAGCCGCGGUAAUACGGAGGGCGCAAGCGUUGUUCGGAAUUACUGGGCGUAAAGCGCGUGUAGGUGGCUUGGAAAGUCGGGUGUGAAAUCCCGGAGCUCAACUCCGGAACUGCAUUCGAUACUGCCAAGCUCGAGUCUCGGA
rnacentral:rRNA from 1 species